rnacentral:rRNA from 1 species
ACGAACGCUGGCGGCGUGCCUAACACAUGCAAGUCGAACGGGAUCCAGGCUUUCGGGCUUGGUGAGAGUGGCGCACGGGUGAGUAACGCGUGGGAACCUGCCCUCAGGUACGGAAUAACGCCGGGAAACUGGCGCUAAUACCGUAUGUCUCCCCCCUGGCAACACGGGGGAGAAAGAUUCAUCGCCUGAGGAUGGUCCCGCGUCCGAUUAGCUAGUUGGCGGGGUAAUGGCCCACCAAGGCGUCGAUCGGUAGCUGGUCUGAGAGGAUGACCAGCCACACUGGGACUGAGACACGGCCCAGACUCCUACGGGAGGCAGCAGUGGGGAAUAUUGGACAAUGGGGGCAACCCUGAUCCAGCAACGCCGCGUGGAUGAAGAAGGCCUUCGGGUUGUAAAGUCCUUUCGGCAGGGACGAUGAUGACGGUACCUGCAGAAGAAGCCCCGGCUAACUUCGU